UAUAUUUUUUUUAAAGAAGAUUAUGGAAGAGUGUGGUGCCCUUCCUAUUCUUGCCUACAUGAUCAUGGAAGGAAGGAAGUUUCUCAGGAAGUCAGAUGAACUGGGGAGACAUAGUCACCUGAGGAAUCAGACAUGAACCCAGUGUUCAUAAAUCUGGUGGUUCCUGUAUGGUGUGUAACCAACCCAGAUUCCAUUGGCAAUGACAGACCUGCGUGGCAGCUGUCUGAAGAGACUGUCCAUCAAGGCAAUGAGUAGUUGCCAAACUGGCAGAGAGAAUGACAUCAUCUGUCCUGUAAGGGAUGUACAUGUUGAGAGAGACUAGCAUGUUCAGAAGACUUUGUCCUAAGCUCUGAUCUUGAGACUCUGUGUUAAAACAUGUUACAAAACAUACACUCCAUCUGUGAUGCAGAAACAAAACGAGAUUGGGCUCGUGCUAUAUCCAUCUGAGAAUUAGGAAUGUAACACAUCAUUUGAAGGAAUAUUGGCUUUCUUUGUAGGCCGCAAGGAGAGGUUUGGCUCCUUUAAGAAAUGGCUUCCUGGUUUGUACUGGCAGCAUGAGCUGCUCUGGAUCUUUUGGGAAGUCCUUCUACAGAGCAUUUAGGGUUGUGAGCAGAGUGCUACAAGUUUCUUAAUGGGGCCAUGGACCCAUUGUGUCUCUAGAGCUAGAAUGGUGAGCAUGGCUCACAGAGCUGAAGGAAAACAUACCUCUGCCAUACUGAAAAACCAAGAGAAGUAGGGCCAGCAUCCAUGGCUGCUGCAACCAAGCUGCUUACCAUUUGAAAAGAGCUGCUGGUCAAAAAAUGAUUACAGAUAUGCAAUAAAGACAGAUCCAGACAGAAAUAAAGCUCUGAAUGGGUCAUGGUGUGCUUAAAAAUAUACAUAGACUUGGGGAGGAGAGGAAAAAAGUGUAGACAGUUACAAAAUAAAUAAUUUUAAAAAUAAAAAAUCUUUAGAGAGACAGUAACAGCAAUGUAAAAGAGUACAGACAGUCAUAGAUUAAAGGAGUAAAGAAAAAAUAAGCCAUGCAGUGAUGGAAUAUACACAGAGUCUGGAUUAUUGUGUUUUCUUUGAAGUUUUUGACUGCAGAGAGACAUUUGAUUCUGGGGACUGCUAAACUAAACCAACACACACACACACACACACACA